rnacentral:misc_RNA from 1 species
GAUGAAGAACGCAGCGAAAUGCGAUAAGUAAUGUGAAUUGCAGAAUUCAGUGAAUCAUCGAAUCUUUGAACGCACAUUGCGCCCGCCAGUAUUCUGGCGGGCAUGCCUGUUCGAGCGUCAUUUCAACCAUCAAGCCCUGCUUGCGUUGGGGUCCUGCGGCUGCCCGCAGGCCCUGAAAACCAGUGGCGGGCUCGCUAGUCACACCGAGCGCAGUAAUACAUCUCGCUUUGGGCGUGCGGCGGGUUCUUGCCGUUAAACACCCCCUUUUUACCAAGGUUGACCUCGGAUCAGGUAGGAAUACCCGCUGAACUUAAGCAUAUCAAUAAGAGGAGGA